UCUCCUUCAGCGGCCACGAGUGCCCAAACGCCCGCCACCCGUCGCCAUGGCCUCCUUCCUCGCCGCCUUCCACUCCGCCGCCGGCCACGUCCCCUGCCCACGCAGGCAGCAGGGUGCAGCCCACCGGCGUGCCUCCUCCCUCCUCUGUCUGCUCCACCUUCCGCCGGAGCCGCUGCCCCGCCGCCGCUCCCGAAGGGUCGCCGCCGAGGACCUUCGCAUUGUUGGUGAUAUGACCAAGAGCCCAUCAUCACAAUACGGUUUAAAGGCUCAAGAGGAUAUUGAUCCAAGAGGGAUUAGGGUUACUAAUGGGCCCAUGAGAUUCGUGACGGGCGGCGCUGACACCACCACUGGCGAUGGCGGCGGCGGCGGCCGCAGGACGAGGGGAGGCAUGGGCGUCGACGUCGCCGCGGUCGCCGCCGGUGCUGCGUCAGGCCAGAACAGCCGACGACGUGGAGCUUCUUGUGAACGGUUUCUUGGAAGACCGCGGCGGCGAGGGCGGCCUCCUGCCCCUCCAAGUGUACACCACCGUGAUUCGGGGGCUCGGCAAGGAGAAGUGCCUGGACGCCGCGUUCGCCGUCGUCGAGCAUCUCAAGCGGAGGGGGGUCAGGCUCAACCAAUUCCUGUACAACUGCCUCCUCGGCGCGGUCAAGAACUGCGGCGAGUUCGGGCGGAUUGAGGCUGUUCUCGCUGACAUGGAAGCGCAGGGAAUCUCCCCAAACAUUGUGACCUUCAACACCCAAAUGUCCAUCUAUGUUCAACAGGGCAAGACUGACGAUGUCUUCAGGGUGUACGCCGAAAUUGAAGGCCGGGGACUUGUGCCGACUGCAGCAACAUACUCCACUCUGAUGUCGGCCUACAAGAAGGCCGGGGAUGCGUUUGCAGCCAUCAAGUUCUUUGUCACGCUCAGGGAGAAGUACAAGAAGGGUGAGCUGGUGGAGAACCAUGACGAAUGGGAGCAGGAGUUUGUCAAGUUUGAGAAGCUCACUGUCCGGGUGUGUUACAUGUCAAUGCGACGGUCUCUCGUCAGCGGGCAGAAUCCGGUCGGUGAGGUGUUGACGGUUCUCCUUGCCAUGGAUGAAGCAGGUGUCAGGCCAGAAAGGAGCGAUUAUGAGCGGCUUGUCUGGGCGUGCACUGGGGAGGAAAAUUAUGCCAUCGGCAAGGAGCUGUAUCAUAGGAUCCGUGAGCAUGAUGGUGAGAUAAGCCUGUCUGUCUGCAACCAUCUGAUUUGGCUGAUGGGCAAGUCUAAGAAAUGGUGGGCAGCUCUUGAGAUUUAUGAGGAUUUGUUGGACAAAGGGCCAAAGCCGAACAAUUUGUCUUAUGAGCUGAUCAUGUCACAUUUCAACAUUCUGCUGAAUGCUGCAAAGAGAAGGGGCAUUUGGAGGUGGGGUGUUAGGCUGCUUGACAAGAUGCAAGAGAAGGGAUUGAAGCCUGGAAGCAAAGAGUGGAAUGCAGUUCUACUUGCAUGUUCAAGGGCUUCUGAAACACCGGCUGCAGUGGAUAUUUUCAAGAAAAUGAUAGAGGAAGGGUUGAAACCAGAUAUAGUUUCCUAUGGAGCAUUGCUGAGUGCACUUGAGAAAGGCAAGCUGUAUGAUGAGGACGAGAGUCUGGGAACACAUGUGCAAAGUUGGCGUUAAACCAAACCUGUAUGCAUAUACAAUUUUGGUUUCCAUUUACAUUGGUAAGGGCAAUCAUGCUAUGGUAGAUGCUGUUCUUCACGAUAUGGUAUCGAAACAGAUUGAGCCAACUGCUGUAACCUUCAACGCAAUAAUCAGCGCAUGUGUGAGGAACAAUAUAGGUGGCACUGCUUUUGAGUGGUUUCACAGGAUGAAAUUGCGGAGCAUUGAACCAAAUGAAAUUACAUACCAGAUGUUGAUUGAAGCUCUUGUACAGGAUGGUAAACCAAAACUUGCCUAUGAGAUGUACAUGAGGGCUUGCAGCCAAGGUCUUGAACUUCCUGCAAAGUCACAUGACACUGUAAUGGAGGCAUGCAAAGCUUAUGGUUCCCUCAUAGAUCUAACUACUCUGGGUCCUCGCCCUACGGGUCCUCGCCCUACGAAAAGGGAGGAACCCAUCAGGUUAGAGAAUAACUUUUCGAGUUUUUCUCAAAUAAAGGAACUGCCUAACAGUACUCAACAUUUUGGAGGCACUGGAAUGUAUGGACUUUUUAGAUACAGAAUGACAAGAUCAUGAUUAUAGCAUCCUACCACUCCCUUGUAUAGUUGUCUUCACCCUCCACAACCUAUCCCACAUUAAAAAAAACGGUCCCUGACAUAUUCCCUAAGUUCCCCAAAUUAUAAGAAUUAGUAAAUUAUCAUUUUUUUCCUCUUA